AGUGAACGCUGGCGGUAGGCCUAACACAUGCAAGUCGAACGGCAGCACGGUAAGAGCUUGCUCUUACGGGUGGCGAGUGGCGGACGGGUGAGGAAUACAUCGGAAUCUACUUUUUCGUGGGGGAUAACGUAGGGAAACUUACGCUAAUACCGCAUACGACCUACGGGUGAAAGCAGGGGAUCUUCGGACCUUGCGCGAUUGAAUGAGCCGAUGUCGGAUUAGCUAGUUGGCGGGGUAAAGGCCCACCAAGGCGACGAUCCGUAGCUGGUCUGAGAGGAUGAUCAGCCACACUGGAACUGAGACACGGUCCAGACUCCUACGGGAGGCAGCAGUGGGGAAUAUUGGACAAUGGGCGCAAGCCUGAUCCAGCCAUACCGCGUGGGUGAAGAGGGCCUUCGGGCUGUAAAGCCCUUUUGUUGGGAAAGAAAAGCAGCAGGUUAAUACCCCGCUGUUCUGACGGUACCCAAAGAAUAAGCACCGGCUAACUUCGUG
rnacentral:rRNA from 1 species